AGUGAACGCUGGCGGCAGGCCUAACACAUGCAAGUCGAACGGCAGCACAGUAAGAGCUUGCUCUUACGGGUGGCGAGUGGCGGACGAGAGAGGAAUACAUCGGAAUCUACUUUUUCGUGGGGGAUAACGUAGGGAAACUUACGCUAAUACCGCAUACGACCUACGGGUGAAAGCAGGGGAUCUUCGCACCUUGCGCUAUUGAAUGAGCCGAUGUCGGAUUAGCUAGUUGGCGGGGUAAAGGCCCACCAAGGCGACGAUCCGUAGCUGGUCUGAGAGGAUGAUCAGCCACACUGGAACUGAGACACGGUCCAGACUCCUACGGGAGGCAGCAGUGGGGAAUAUUGGACAAUGGGCGCAAGCCUGAUCCAGCCAUACCGCGUGGGUGAAGAAGGCCUUCGGGUUGUAAAGCCCUUUUGUUGGGAAAGAAAAGCAGCAGGUUAAUACCCCGCUGUUCUGACGGUACCCAAAGAAUAAGCACCGGCUAACUACGUG
rnacentral:rRNA from 1 species